rnacentral:lncRNA from 1 species
AGGUUACCAAAUAAGAAAAUAUGAUUUUAUAGAUCUACCUUUUUUUUCUUUUUUUUUCUUUUUCUUUUUUUGUCAGCAAACAAAGCAUACUCAUGUAGACUCUGUGAACCACCCCGGUAGCUCUGCAUCCAUAUGAACGAUAAACGACAGUUGUUUUCUUGCACUGCGUGCGAGACUGUCCGCCUUUGAGUUCUGUGUCCGUGGUAUAUGAAUAAUCUUUGACCUGUUGAAAUUCCUCUUCAAAACUAUUAUGUCUUCCAAAUAGCUUGCAAAGACUGGCCACUCUUCUGGUUCUGAAACCAUCUUCACCAAUUGAGCACAAUCUGUUGCAAAAGUAACCCAUGCCUGUCUAAGAUUCUUCAUUCAUUCUGUUGUCCAUAUAAGGGCCUCUAUCUCUGAGUGUAGUGGUGACUGACUCGCUCUCGUAUUC